UGUCGGCUAGCUCUUGCAGCUAGCUUAAGGUACGUGCCGUUCCUCCUUGAAAAGGGAGCCACUAGCCGGAGCGCCCAUCACGCGAGGGCUAGUGGGUCGCGAGUGAACCGGAGGGGCCAGUGGGCGCAGCGUUACAAGUGCGCGGGCACUUGUACGCUUGCAAUUCGUUUCACUUGGGACACGUUGAAAGGCCAGCAGCCGCGGUAAUUCCAGCUCCAAUAGCGUAUAUUAAAGUUGUUGCAGUUAAAAAGCUCGUAGUUGAACCUUGGGCCUGGCUGGCCGGUCCGCCUCACCGCGUGUACUGGUCCGGCCGGGCCUUUCCUUCUAGUGAGCCUCAUGCCCUUCACUGGGUGUGUUGGGGAGCUAGAACUUUUACUGUGAACAAAUUAGAGUGUUCAAAGCAGGCCUUUGCUCGAAUACAUUAGCAUGGAAUAAUAGAAUAGGACGUGCGGUCCUAUUUUGUUGGUUUCUAGGACCGCCGUAAUGAUUAAUAGGGAUAGUCGGGGGCAUCAGUAUUCAAUUGUCAGAGGUGAAAUUCUUGGAUUUAUUGAAGACUAACUACUGCGAAAGCAUUUGCCAAGGAUGUUUUCAUUAAUCAGUGAACGAAAGUUAGGGGAUCGAAGACGAUCAGAUACCGUCGUAGUCUUAACCGUAAACUAUGCCGACUAGGGAUUGGGCGAUG
rnacentral:rRNA from 1 species